GCUCUUGAUUGAAGUCCCAGUAAACGGCGGCCGUAACUAUAACGGUCCUAAGGUAGCGAAAUUCCUUGUCGGGUAAGUUCCGACCUGCACGAAUGGCGUAACGAUGGCCACACUGUCUCCUCCCGAGACUCAGCGAAGUUGAAAUGUUUGUGAUGAUGCAAUCUACCCGCGGCUAGACGGAAAGACCCCAUGAACCUUUACUGUAGCUUUGCAUUGGACUUUGAACCAAUCUGUGUAGGAUAGGUGGGAGGCUUUGAAGCAGGGACGCUAGUCUCUGUGGAGCCAACCUUGAAAUACCACCCUGGUUUGUUUGAGGUUCUAACCUUGGUCCGUUAUCCGGAUCGGGGACAGUGCAUGGUAGGCAGUUUGACUAGGGCGGUCUCCUCCCAAAGUGUAACGGAGGAGUUCGAAGGUACGCUAGGUACGGUCGGACAUCGUGCUAAUAGUGCAAUGGCAUAAGCGUGCUUAACUGCGAGACUGACAAGUCGAGCAGGUACGAAAGUAGGACAUAGUGAUCCGGUGGUUCUGUAUGGAAGGGCCAUCGCUCAACGGAUAAAAGGUACUCUGGGGAUAACAGGCUGAUUCCUCCCAAGAGUUCAUAUCGACGGGGGAGUUUGGCACCUCGAUGUCGGCUCAUCACAUCCUGGGGCUGUAGCCGGUCCCAAGGGUAUGGCUGUUCGCCAUUUAAAGUGGUACGUGAGCUGGGUUUAAAACGUCGUGAGACAGUUUGGUCCCUAUCUGCCGUGGGCGUUGGAAGUUUGAAGGGGGCUGCUCCUAGUACGAGAGGACCGGAGUGGACGAACCUCUGGUGUAUCGGUUGUCACGCCAGUGGCAUUGCCGAGUAGCUAAGUUCGGAAGAGAUAACCGCUGAAAGCAUCUAAGCGGGAAACUCGCCUUGAGAUGAGACUUCCCGGGAACUAGAUUCCCCUAAAGGGUCGUUCGAGACCAGGACGUUGAUAGGUCAGGUGUGGAAGCGCAGUAAUGCGUUAAGCUAACUGAUACUAAUUGCCCGUGCGGCUUGUUCCU
rnacentral:rRNA from 1 species